UUUUGAUACUUUACUUUUUUUUUAGUGAUUAUUUGAGACAGGAUGUUUUUAUAUAGGUAGCCCUGGCUGUCAUGGACCUCCUGUACACCAGGCUGGCCUCCAUCUACCUGGCUCUGCCUCCCAGAUGGUUUCAAGCGUACCACUGCUCUCCUGGCUGGGAUUAAAGGUGUUGACCAGUGCUUGCCUGCCUGGCACACACUCAAGUUGAUGACUCUCAUUAGGAAAUCUGAAUUGAGGUCAGAGAAAAUGUUUUUGGAUCAUUUCUUUAGUAAUUUGCUCAUUUUUAUAGUCAUUGUUUGAUUUUUUUUUUUUUUUUUUGUAUGCUUUUGCGUUUGGGCCUUGGGCUUCCCUAUAUUUAUUUAGUGUUUUGUAUUUUGCUUUCAUUUUUUUUUCUUUUGUUAUUUCCAAGUGAUAACUUACUUUAAUUCUUCCAUUUGUAGUUGAAAUUCUGUUGAGGUUUUGAUUUGUUUUGGUUUUCUGAAAUAACUGUUUUUGUUCCUAGGAAUCUUUCCUUUUGUAGUGUCUAUUUUGUAGUUUUACAGAAAUUAUUUAUAAUUUUGACUCAAAGCCAGCAUUUCAAAUUCAAGAUUUAUUUCUCAGUGAGUCUGUUGAAGCCAGGUGCUGCUGAAAUUGGGCUGUGCAGGAUUAGACAUUGCAUUUAGCUCUUCAUUUUUAAUGUGCUCUCACUAUCCCUUAAUAUGUUUUCACUAUCCCGUCUCAGCUGGCUUUAGUGUUCUAGAUUUAUCUUCCUUUUCUUUUUUAAAAGACAGGUUCUUGCAGUAUAUAGUACUUGCUGGCUUUAAGUUGUUAUAUAGAUAAGGCUGGUCUUGAACUGUGUCUGUUUUGCCAGCUGGUAUUAUAGGUGUAUGCCACCAUGCCUGGUACCUGCCUACAUUUCUUUUGGUUUACUAUCUCCAGACAAUUCAUCAUUGCAAUUUCUCAGGACAGGAGAGAGAUAGUUACCUGGUAUCAUGUCGUGGAGAGAUGGAUUGAUUUGGUUGCUUUUAGAAAACACUAUCCUAUAUUCAUGGCCUAUUGCUGUACACAUGAAUCACUCCAUCUUGUUGUGUUGGUUGGCAUCUAGAUUAUCUCCUAUUUUCCAAACUAUGCAAUACAUGGUGAAUUAGUUUAGGACUUAGGUACCCUUUGUGCAGUCUGUGGUUUUUCUUGUUUUGGUGAUAGUCAAGCCCAGUGCCUGCUGCAUGCUAAAGCAUGCUCUGAGCUACAGAGACACAGCAAUCUCCUUUGCAGUCCUUUACUACCUGGCUGUCUUUCCCUUGUAAUGUCCAUUAAGUUUUAUAGUUGCGGCUUCAUGCCCUUUUUAAUCUCACUAUCAUUCAGGCUUUUCUUGUAAUCUCUCCCUUUAGAAUUUAGUAACUGAUGGUGUCUAUCUUCUGUUUGUCCUUUUCUACUUGAUUUUUUUCUGUUCCACUAAUAAAUGAUUUGGAAUCUUUCCUCUGGUUUUACUUUCUUUCACAUGUUCACCAUUGAUCUUUCCCUCUUCAUUGGUAAACUUCAUAGAAGAAUAAACAGUAGUUGAUAUGAAUACUUUGCCAUAUUCUCUUAGCUUAGUGGUUGAGAAAUAACUACUUGUCAUUACAAAUGAUAGCAUUUGAAAUCUGCUUUUGCUGUUCACACUUUUUAUCGUGGGCACUCUCCACUAACCCUAUUGUCUGUCCUUUGGUGACUAUUACAUAAAAUUCCCUGAAUAAUAAAUUUUUGGUUGCUUAGCAGCAGGAAAACAAAACAAACAACAACAACAACAAAAAACGGAUCACCAAUGGGGAUUUGGGAAAUUUUCCUCCUUUUAGAUACAUGAAUCACUUCGUUUUUUCUUUUGUCCUAGCUACUAUGUAGCCCAGAGUAAAAUCUGGUCUUUAGUUACAUCAGCCAAAUAAAUCUUACUGUUAGUAUAUUUGUUUUCUCUUCCUCCUUCCAUUGGGGUUAGGACUUCACCUCUUAUCUCUUUCUCUGCAUGUUGAUUUCAUUCUCUUAUACUACAGACUCUCUACUACAUGAGGCUGGAACCAUGACUGCUGGCAGCUCUUGGCUUUCAUCUUCCCAGCCCCUUCUACCAGGAAAAGGGGCUCUUUUGAAGAAUCCUGAGAAGGACUCUGAUUGACCUGUCUUGGAUCAUGUACCCAUCAUCCCUCUGGCUGGAGUGGGGAGGGCUCUAUGAAUUGCAACCCUCACUAGAACUACAUAGUUGGAGUCAGGGGUAAGAGCAGUUCCCUGAUGCAGGUGGGUGGGCCCUGUUUGAAGAAAGUGAAAACUGAACAGAUAAAAAGUAGACUUCUAUCAUUCUGGCUUUUAAUACAUUAUAUAUAGAUCCGUCACUGUGUACUGGCUUACGUACUUAUCUGAAAACAUUAAGCCUAAACAUAGAGUAUAAUAGACAUGUUCAUUUACCCUUCAAACUAUUCUAUCUGGCUUGAAUCUUGCACAGGUAAUUUUGCUGUUAUUUCAGUGACUAGAUCUAAUUUUUUUCUCCCUCUUUUGAUUCUAUUUUUGACAUUUAAACCAUUGUGCCAAGCUAGGUGUGGUGCUGUACAUUAAUAAUCCUAGCAUUUGGGAGGUGGAAGCAGGAAGAUUAGAAGAUUAAGCCCAGCCUCCAUGAUACAUGAGACCUGAUCUCAAAAAUAUCCCCCAAAACCAAACCAACCAACAAAACCCCACAUAACAAAAAUGUAGUCUUAAAGAUCAUUCAAGUUUCUUCAUGAUUUCCUCAGGUUGCUGUUUUGUUUUUACCUCAGGUGUUUCAAUUGCCCCUUUGGAUUCCUUUUGGGAUUAUUUUCUUACUACAAAGGUUAAGCCACAAGAUUGCUUUUCUUAUUGUUUGCUUAUCUCAUUCACAGGGAAUUUAAGAUUGUUAGUUUUUCUACUUCUGCUGUCACUGUUGUGAGGAUCUAAGCCUUGAUGCUUUUUCUUGGUCUAGCUUAUUGCAAUAGCUUUAUUUAGUUACAUAGUUUACAUUUUGUAUGUUGGAAUGUGUAUCUGACUGUGAAUGCAGGUGUCCAUGGAGUUCAGCUCGUGGAACUGGAGGCACAGGCAGUAUGACCUAUUUGAUAUGGGUGCUGGGAAGGGAAUAUGGAUCUGCAGGGGCAGCAUGUGCUAGUAACUGAAGAGCCAUCUCACUUAGUUACCCCCGUCUAAAGUUUUAUAUCUUUGUAGUGUGACAUUGUCUAAAAAAAUUAAACAGACAAAAAUGGGUCUUUAAGGUCUAGGGAUAUGGUUCAGUGGUAGUGUUUCCUUAUCAUUACAUGUGUGAAUUCCUGGAUUCAGUUCUCAGUACCCUAACUAAACCUUAGAAUUGUGGAUAUACUUCUUUCUUCUCUAUCCAGCUUAUUUCUCAAUAUUCUGCUCCUAAGAAAAGCACAGUUUUGGCUGUUGAUUCCUCUCCUGACCCCGUGUGUAGACUAAGCUAGCCUCCAACUUGCAUCAGUACUUACUGUGACCCAGCUCCGCACUGUUCAUUAUAUGUGUACAUGCCAUACACUUUGCCACUCUUGACGUUAUUGCUCUCAUCCUAGCAUCUUCUUUGCCCCUCAAUCUUAUCUCCUAGGAAGAAACAGGAUUGCUAUUCCUGUCCCUAAAAUACCACUUGUUUCCCAUUGUUAAGUAUUAGUGUAGGGCAAAAAUAUUUUUUCUACUUUUGUGCAUUUUCACUAAAAGUAAAGGAGAGCCAGGGACACAGCUCAGCCAUAGACUGCUUGCUUGUGUAGGUAGUAUGAGGCCCUGGUAUUGACUCCAGCACCCCUUCUUCCCCCAAAGAAAAGAAAAAAGGAAGCUAAUGGUACUUUUUUUUUUUUUUUUUCCCUGAGAUGGGGCCUCUCUAUGUGCCCCUCUCUGUCAGGCCUGGAUCUUCUUGUGCACAUCAUCUGCCUCUGUCUCCUGAGUGCUGGGAUUACUGUAAAAUGCCAUCUCAGGGAAAAUUACCCUUUAGAAGGUACUCACAAAGAUGGUGUCUAGGGGCUGGAGAUUGCUUAGCAGUUAAGAGCACUUGUUCUUACACGGAACCUGGUUUCAAUUCCCUGACAUUCUUUUCUGACCUCUGUGGGUACCAGGGAUACAAGUGUGUAGCUGGACUUUGAUACACAAGGGUGAGUUCUUCUUUUUUCCACUCUUUAUUCCCCUGGUUUCACCCCUUAUCACUAGAUAAGAGAGAAAAAAGGAUAGAGGGGGGAGAGAGAGAGAGAUAGAUAUCGAUCUAUAAUUAAUUGUUUUUCUUGUUUCUUCUUUGAGCACGGCUACAAACUUCAACCUACCCUCCUGAAAUGACCACCAACUACCAAAUCUGCCUCUCAGGGCCUUAGCAUCUGAAAAAUUUCCAGAUUUUCAAAUACCACACAGUUCAGUUUCAGAAACUAUUUGCAGCUGGUAAAAGCAGGCCUCUGCUAGAGCGCUAGGUAAAUCAUAGUCAGCUUCUGUGAAGCAGCCUUAUAACUCCACACCUGGGAUUAAGAUGAAAACAUUCUUAUCAUAUUUCUCUGUGUGUGUUUUUUAAAGAAACCAAAGUUCCAGAAUUCUCAUUACACAAGUGCUACACAUAUGAGCACGUAGGUAAAAUACCUGAAAAAUAAAUUUAAAAAAAGUUUCUGUUUUCUUUUAGUUAUUUCCUAAAGCCUCAGGUUAGAGUUUUAGUUCCAUAUUGAACCCAAGUCCUUGUGCACAAUAAGCAGUGUGUACUGAGCUACCCUACCUAGUUCCUUAUAGU
rnacentral:lncRNA from 1 species